rnacentral:tRNA from 1 species
GAUUCACUAGCUCAGUCGGUAGAGCACCUGACUUUUAAUCAGGGUGUCCGGGGUUCGAGUCCCCGGUGAAUCACCA